GGAUUAGCUCAGCUGGGAGAGCGCUUGAAUGGCAUUCAAGAGGUCAGGGGUUCAACUCCCCUAUCC
rnacentral:tRNA from 1 species